rnacentral:rRNA from 1 species
UCAGAUUGAACGCUGGCGGCAGGCCUAACACAUGCAAGUCGAGCGGCAGCGACAUGAUUGAACCUUCGGGGAGUUAUGGGGCGGCGAGCGGCGGACGGGUGAGUAAUGCCUGGGAAUAUGCCCUGAUGUGGGGGAUAACCAUUGGAAACGAUGGCUAAUACCGCAUAAUCUCUUCGGAGCAAAGAGGGGGACCUUCGGGCCUCUCGCGUCAGGAUUAGCCCAGGUGGGAUUAGCUAGUUGGUGGGGUAACGGCUCACCAAGGCGACGAUCCCUAGCUGGUCUGAGAGGAUGAUCAGCCACACUGGAACUGAGACACGGUCCAGACUCCUACGGGAGGCAGCAGUGGGGAAUAUUGCACAAUGGGGGAAACCCUGAUGCAGCCAUGCCGCGUGUGUGAAGAAGGCCUUCGGGUUGUAAAGCACUUUCAGUCGUGAGGAAGGGUGUGCAGUUAAUAGCUGUACAUUUUGACGUUAGCGACAGAAGAAGCACCGGCUAACUCCGUGCCAGCAGCCGCGGUAAUACGGAGGGUGCGAGCGUUAAUCGGAAUUACUGGGCGUAAAGCGCAUGCAGGCGGUCUGUUAAGCAAGAUGUGAAAGCCCGGGGCUCAACCUCGGAACAGCAUUUUGAACUGGCAGACUAGAGUCUUGUAGAGGGGGGUAGAAUUUCAGGUGUAGCGGUGAAAUGCGUAGAGAUCUGAAGGAAUACCGGUGGCGAAGGCGGCCCCCUGGACAAAGACUGACGCUCAGAUGCGAAAGCGUGGGGAGCAAACAGGAUUAGAUACCCUGGUAGUCCACGCCGUAAACGAUGUCUACUUGGAGGUUGUGGCCUUGAGCCGUGGCUUUCGGAGCUAACGCGUUAAGUAGACCGCCUGGGGAGUACGGUCGCAAGAUUAAAACUCAAAUGAAUUGACGGGGGCCCGCACAAGCGGUGGAGCAUGUGGUUUAAUUCGAUGCAACGCGAAGAACCUUACCUACUCUUGACAUCCAGAGAACUUUCCAGAGAUGGAUUGGUGCCUUCGGGAACUCUGAGACAGGUGCUGCAUGGCUGUCGUCAGCUCGUGUUGUGAAAUGUUGGGUUAAGUCCCGCAACGAGCGCAACCCCUAUCCUUGUUUGCCAGCACGUCAUGUUGGGAACUCCAGGAAGACUGCCGGUGAUAAACCGGAGGAAGGUGGGGA